rnacentral:misc_RNA from 1 species
GAUGAAGAACGUAGCGAAAUGCGAUAAGUAGUGUGAAUUGCAGAAUUCAGUGAAUCAUCGAAUCUUUGAACGCACAUUGCGCCCCUUGGUAUUCCAUGGGGCAUGCCUGUUCGAGCGUCAUUUGUACCUUCAAGCUCUGCUUGGUGUUGGGUGUUUGUCCUUGCUCUAGUGGCGUGACUCGCCUUAAAGUAAUUGGCAGCCAGUGUUUUGGUUUUGAAGCGCAGCACAAGUCGCGAUUCAAGUCUAUACGCUAGUUUCCACAAGUCUUUUAUCACUUUUGACCUCGGAUCAGGUAGGGAUACCCGCUGAACUUAAGCAUAUCAAUAAGCGGAGGA